UACGUAGGGUCCGAGCGUUGUCCGGAAUUAUUGGGCGUAAAGGGCUCGUAGGCGGUUCGUCACGUCGGGAGUGAAAACUCGGGGGCUUAACCCCGAGCCUGCUUCCGAUACGGGCAGACUAGAGGUAGGCAGGGGAGAGCGGAACUCCUGGUGUAGCGGUGGAAUGCGCAGAUAUCAGGAAGAACACCGGUGGCGAAGGCGGGUCUCUGGGCCGAUACUGACGCUGAGGAGCGAAAGCGUGGGGAGCGAACAGG
rnacentral:rRNA from 1 species